rnacentral:sRNA from 1 species
UGUGUGUGGCGUGUGUGUGUGUGUGUGUGUGUGUGUGUGUGUGUGUGUGUGCAUGUGGUGGUGCAUGCCUGCAUACCAGCGUGAAAGCUAGAGGAGGACAUUGAUGUGGUUUGCUAUGUUGGCUAGGCUGGCCACCCAGUGACCUGUGGGGAUCUGCUUGCCUUGGUCCAUGCCCCUCAAUGGGGUUACAGGCAUACCUAGCCAUGUGAGACCUUUAUAGAGUUUUAGAGAUUUGAACUAAGGUCUUCUUGGUCUUACAGUAAGAAUUCUUACCUAACGAUUCUUCUCCCCAGCCAGAAAACGUUGCAUUUAAGUGAAAUGAAAGAUAAAGCGUCCAGCUGGAGUGCUCAUUUCAAUGUCAUCUCCUGGCCGCAUAGAUGAAUGCAGGCAUCCCAAAGGGACGGUUUCCUAACAGAAAGGACUGGUAACUGCAGUAUAAGAGAACACUCCCUCAUUCUUCAGCCAAAGCAAUUCUUCCUUAAAACUCCUAGAGAACAGAGACGAUGGGAAGAGACAGGGUAUGAAACCAUUUGUAUUGAGAACCGUGCGCUCAGUGAACCUCACUGGUUAGCCUUCUCGGUGGCCAGCUUUUCCUAUCUCGGCGUUCAUUUUAUACUUUAAUUUGGCUGGCAGGUCUUUGUUUAAUCGUCCUAUUGAAGGGAGAACAAAGGUGGUUUGGGUGACUUGGUUGAGUAACGCAGUGUAUUUUUAUCUCUGUAAAAAGCCCCCAUGGUCGGCAUACUGAGAGCCUCUGGUUCUCUCCAGGUUUGGGAUCACACAUCAGUUGGCGGAUAAAGAUCCUCACUGUAUUUAGUGGCAGACGCCUUCUGAAGACAGACACCUCGUCGGCUACAGAGACGACGCCUUGCCAGCCACCCUAGUCCCCGAUGGCUGGUUAUCGCACCGCGAGCAGUUCAAUUUCCUCUGGGUAUCUGUUUCCUUCUAUAAAACACUGGCAGGGUUGCUGUCAGACAGCCCGUCUAGUGGAGACUGCAGCCACCAGUAUGCUUUGCACGGGCCACUGAAGAGUCAUAAGAUGGUGACAACUUUGGGUCUUUAGUGACCUGGACUGGAUUCGACUCACUGACCUAGAGGUGAAAGGCUCUGUAUUUCAUUACUAAUCCCUUGAGCCAUCCAGCCCCCUGAAAAUGAUUCUUUGGUUUUUAUUACUGCAAAGACCAUUUAUAAAAUCAUGGACUGGAUUUAGGAAAGCAACCAUGAAAUAGCAAGGGACAACAAAUUGAUUGAAAUUUCUUAAAUGUUAUGUGAGCUGGAGACUCUCAGACUGGAGGAACGGGAAAAAGUUCUAUCUCCUUUCUUACUUCAGGGGUGCGACCUGCUCACUUAGACGUGGCGACUUCAAAUCCACUGACCAUGCCUCAGGGAACCGAUUCCUAAAUAAAGAAGACGGAAAAGCAAGCUACGAAACAGCCAAUAAUCUUUAUUUUGUACUUCCCCCAUCCUUCGUCUUCUCCAAAAAGCACUAAUGGGUAUUCUUUGUGCAUGUGAAAAUAUUGUAUAAAGUAUUUAGAAUGAUCUCUAGUGAAUGAAAAAGAAAAGAGACACAUAUCUCGACAUAGAUACUUUUUGGGGGGCAGGGGUGACGAAAACUUCUGGCUUCUAGAACAAGGAGGGGAGUGACUUCCACACUCUUCGCAGGUUGACUCCGUUACCACUGUUCUGCAAUUUAACAUCAAGGCAGAGAACCACAUUUCUGAAACCACAUUAUAUGUUUUAAAAUAGGAGUGACUAUAAUACUAAUGUCAAUUGAGUUGGCAGUAAAAAAAAAAUCACAUUUCUACUCAUAUAUUUGUAUUAGGUUCAAAUUCCGAGUUCUAACAUUCAAGAUCGCCUUCACACAUGCCCAGAUUGGGAUUAUUUCAAAAUCAAGUAAAGGUCCAUAGUUAUUUCAAAGCCACUAAAAUAUGCUAAUAAAGUUAAAUUUGAUGCUUUUUUUUACAUUAAAAAUAAAACAUUUGGUUUAUGUUUCAGAUAUCUAUAACAUAUAAUAAAUAGUGGGCAGUAUAGCAAUAUAAUAAAGUUUUGUGAUACCCUGAAAUUUGAUGAGUUUUCUUAAAAAAAUCCAUAAUAUACUUCAUUUCAACCUUAAAG